CGGGUGUGUAAGCGUAGCGAUACGUUGAGCUAACCGAUACUAAUGAACCGUGAGGCUUAACCUUACAACGCCGAAG
rnacentral:rRNA from 4 species